UUAGUAACGGCGAGUGAAGCGGUAACAGCUCAAAUUUGAAAUCUGGCUCCCUGCGGAGUCCGAGUUGUAAUUUGUAGAAGAUGCUUUGGGUGCUCGGCCCGGUCUAAGUUCCUUGGAACAGGACGUCGUAGAGGGUGAGAAUCCCGUAUGCGGCCGGGGUGGGUGCUCGUGUAAAGCUCUUUCGACGAGUCGAGUUGUUUGGGAAUGCAGCUCAAAAUGGGUGGUAAAUUUCAUCUAAAGCUAAAUAUGGGCCAGAGACCGAUAGCGCACAAGUAGAGUGAUCGAAAGAUGAAAAGCACUUUGGAAAGAGAGUUAAACAGUACGUGAAAUUGUUGAAAGGGAAGCGCUUGCAACCAGACUUGGGCGUCGCUGAUCAUCCAAAGUUUUCUUUGGUGCACUCGACGACGUACAGGCCAGCAUCGGUUGGGGUGGUGGGAGAAAGGUUGUAGGAACGUAGCUCUUUUCGGGGAGUGUUAUAGCCUGCGACGCAAUGCCGCCUACCCUGACCGAGGACCGCGCUUCGGCUAGGAUGCUGGCGUAAUGGUUGUAAGCGACCCGUCUUGAAACACGGACCAAGGAGUCUAACAUCUAUGCGAGUGUUUGGGUGCGAAACCCAUGCGCGAAAUGAAAGUGAACGUAGGUGAGAACCCUUCGAGGGGGCAUCAUCGACCGAUCCUGAUGUCUUCGGAUGGAUUUGAGUAAGAGCAUAGCUGUUGGGAACNAAA
rnacentral:rRNA from 1 species